AUACGUAGGGAGCGAGCGUUGUCCGGAAUUACUGGGUGUAAAGGGAGCGUAGGCGGGAGUGCAAGUCAGAUGUGAAAUACAUGGGCUCAACCCAUGGGCUGCAUUUGAAACUGCAUUUCUUGAGUGAAGUAGAGGUAAGCGGAAUUCCUGGUGUAGCGGUGAAAUGCGUAGAUAUCAGGAGGAACACCGGUGGCGAAGGCGGCUUACUGGGCUUUUACUGACGCUGAGGCUCGAAAGCGUGGGGAGCAAACAGGAUUAGAUACCCUGGUAGUCCACGCUGUAAACGAUGAUUACUAGGUGUGGGGGGACUGACCCCCUCCGUGCCGCAGUUAACACAAUAAGUAUUCCACCUGGGGAGUACGAUCGCAAGAUUGAAACUUAAAGGAAUUGACGGGG
rnacentral:rRNA from 1 species